rnacentral:rRNA from 1 species
CACGUAGGGUGCGAGCGUUGUCCGGAAUUAUUGGGCGUAAAGAGCUCGUAGGCGGUGUGUCGCGUCGGCCGUGAAAACCUGCAGCUUAACUGUGGGCUUGCGGUCGAUACGGGCAUCACUGGAGUUCGGCAGGGGAGACUGGAAUUCCUGGUGUAGCGGUGAAAUGCGUAGAUAUCAGGAGGAACACCCAUGGCGAAGGCAGCAAACUGGUCCGUAUCUGACGCUGAGGCGCGAAAGCGUGGGUAGCAAACAGG